AUAAUGAUAGUCGCCAAAAGCGGCUUUUUUUAUAGCCGAAAUCUAGUCAAAUCAAACAUUUCAAAGGGU
rnacentral:ncRNA from 1 species